rnacentral:rRNA from 1 species
CCGAGUGGCGGACGGGUGAGUAACGCGUGGGUAACCUGCCUCAUGCAGGGGGAUAACGGUUAGAAAUGACUGCUAAUACCGCAUAAGCGCACAGUACCGCAUGGUACGGUGUGAAAAACUCCGGUGGUAUGAGAUGGACCCGCGUCUGAUUAGGUAGUUGGUGGGGUAACGGCCUACCAAGCCGACGAUCAGUAGCCGACCUGAGAGGGUGACCGGCCACAUUGGGACUGAGACACGGCCCAA